rnacentral:misc_RNA from 1 species
GAUGAAGAACGCAGCGAAAUGCGAUAAGUAGUGUGAAUUGCAGAAUUCAGUGAAUCAUCGAAUCUUUGAACGCACAUUGCGCCCCCUGGUAUUCCGGAGGGCAUGUCUGUCCGAGCGUCAUUAGUCCAAUCUCAAGCCCGGCUUGUCGUUGGGUCGCACCGCCCGGGGCGGUGGACCCGAAAUAUAAUGACGGGGUCUAGCGGACCGUGGGCGCAGCGAGCUUUUACAGCACGCGUCCCGGCGUCAUCUAGACGCGUCUCCAACCAUACUCUCUGUAGGUUGACCUCGGAUCAGACAGGAUUACCCGCUGAACUUAAGCAUAUCAAUAAGCGGAGGA